GGAGAUUAUAGCUCAGUAGUAGAGCAUUCGACUGCUAAUCGAGAAGUCCCCGGUAUAAACCAAGGUGUCUCCU